GACGAACGCUGGCGGCGUGCUUAACACAUGCAAGUCGAACGGAAAGGCCCUGCUUUUGUGGGGUGCUCGAGUGGCGAACGGGUGAGUAACACGUGAGUAACCUGCCCUUGACUUUGGGAUAACUUCAGGAAACUGGGGCUAAUACCGGAUAGGAGCUCCUGCUGCAUGGUGGGGGUUGGAAAGUUUCGGCGGUUGGGGAUGGACUCGCGGCUUAUCAGCUUGUUGGUGGGGUAGUGGCUUACCAAGGCUUUGACGGGUAGCCGGCCUGAGAGGGUGACCGGCCACAUUGGGACUGAGAUACGGCCCAGAAUCCUAAGGGAGGCAACAGUGGGGAAUAUUGCACAAUGGGCGGAAGCCUGAUGCAGCCACGCCGGGUGCGGGAUGAAGGGCUUCGGGUUGUAAACCGCUUUCGCCUGUGACGAAGCGUGAGUGAAGGUAAUGGGUAAAGAAGCCCCGGCUAAAUACGUG
rnacentral:rRNA from 1 species